UUACCUCUUCGUGUCAUUGGUGGUCAGUGUUGGUUGGCGGAAAUUCGUGACCUACCUACGUCACGUAAAGUGACGUAAUGAAUGACCGCAUGCUUCACUCAUCACCAAUCGCGCAGCGUUACGGUCCGCAUCAACCACUCCCUCCGGCGGGAAGAGGAAAUCCAGCUGGCGAGGGCGGCUGGGAGCGGAAUUGUAUAUCAUGUACUACGUCCACCCGCUCCCUGG